rnacentral:rRNA from 1 species
GCCAGAGGGUGCAAACGUUGUUCGGAAUUACUGGGCGUAAAGCGCGUGUAGGCGGCUAUCUAAGUCGGGCGUGAAAUCCCAUGGCUCAACCAUGGAAGUGCACCCGAAACUGGGCAGCUAGAGUCCUGGAGAGGAAGGUGGAAUGCUUGGUGUAGAGGUGAAAUUCGUAGAUAUCAAGCGGAACACCGGUGGCGAAGGCGGCCUUCUGGACAGUGACUGACGCUGAGACGCGAAAGCGUGGGGAGCAAACAGG